rnacentral:rRNA from 1 species
GACGAACGCUGGCGGCGUGCUUAACACAUGCAAGUCGAGGGUAGCAAUACACUGGCGCAAGGGUGCGUAACGCGUAGAUUAUCUGCCCCAUACACUAACAUAACGCUUGGAAACGGGUGCUAAUAUUAGAUGAGGUGCUUCGGCAUCAAAGUUUCGACGGUAUGGGAUGAGUCUGCGUCUGAUUAGCUAGUUGGUAGUGUAAUGGACUACCAAGGCGACGAUCAGUAGCUGGUCUGAGAGGACGAUCAGCCACACUGGAACUGAGACACGGUCCAGACUCCUACGGGAGGCAGCAGUGAGGAAUUUUGCGCAAUGGACGAAAGUCUGACGCAGCGACGCCGCGUGUGGGAUGAAGGGGCUACGCCCUGUAAACCACUGUUAGAUGUGAAAAAAAGAUGGCUUUGCCGUCCGGGAUUGUAACAUCAAAGAAAGGACCGGCUAACUACGUGCCAGCAGCCGCGGUAAU